rnacentral:lncRNA from 1 species
CUUUCUAAUUUUAAUUCCAAAUUACAGUUUUGACCCCAAUUUCAUGGUCCACUGAACAUAGAAAAUGAUAGUGCAAAGUUCAGGUUAAAGUUUUUGGUCAAGGUAGUUUUUGAUGAAGUUCAAGUUACAUCAACUUGAAACUUAGUACACAUGUUCCCUAUGAUAUGAUCUUUCUAAUUUUAAUUCCAAAUUAAAGUUUUGACCCCAAUUUCACGGUCCACUGAACAUAGAAAAUGAUAGUGGAAGUGGGGCAUCCGUGUACUAU